CGGSGGGGGGGGGGGGCGGGGCGGCCGCGAAGRACCUUACAGAAGAACUUUACCCACUCUUUACAUCCAGCGAAUCCUUUAGAGAUAGAGGAGUGCAUUCGGGAACGUUGAGACAGGUGCUGCAUGGCUGUCGUCAGCUCGUGUUGUGAAAUGUUGGGUUAAGUCCCGCAACGAGCGCAACCCUUAUCCUUUGUUGCCAGCGCGUAAUGGCGGGAACUCAAAGGAGACUGCCGGUGAUAAACCGGAGGAAGGUGGGGAUGACGUCAAGUCAUCAUGGCCCUUACGAGUAGGGCUACACACGUGCUACAAUGGCAGAUACAAAGAGAAGCGACCUCGCGAGAGCAAGCGGAACUCAUAAAGUCUGUCGUAGUCCGGAUUGGAGUCUGCAACUCGACUCCAUGAAGUCGGAAUCGCUAGUAAUCGU
rnacentral:rRNA from 1 species